AUGGCGGACCGACUGGCGGUUGGGUUGGCGAAAUCGGUGGUGGUGGGGGCGAUCAGCAAGAUCGAGUCGGCGAUCGAGGAGGACACCAAGCUCCGGCAGAAGGCGCACUGUGACCUUGUGUCCAUCACUCUCGAGUUCGAGAUGAUUCAGUCCUUCCUUGACGUCGCCAAGGAGGAGAGCAUCAUGAAUAAUAUGGUGAGGACCUGGGUGAGGCACGUCCGUGAAUUGGCCUAUGACCUCGAAGACUGCAUCGAGUUCGUUAUCCAUUUGGAUAGCAAGCGAAUAUUCUGGCGCCGGUUGUUCAAGCCUUGCAUGGCACUGGCAGGCCGGUCGCUGCCACUGGACCAGGCCGUCGAGGAUUUAGCAGAGCUCAAGGGCAGAGCUGACGAGUUGAGCAAGUGUUACUUGCGCUACAGCAACAUCACCGGCUCUGUUGCCUCCAAGUUGGUCAUGAUGCAGAAACAACAAGGAGUCUCCAGCGCAAUAGCACUCGAUAUGCUCCUCAAGGCAAGGGAUGCCGCGGAUGGGCAGAAAUGCACAGGGGAUCUCACCCAGCUGAUCACUCAAAAUGGUCAUCCCAAUGGUGACCUCCAAGUUAUCUCGGUGUGGGGAUCAGAAGGCAACCAUGGGACCACAUCUGUCAUCAUGACGACCUACAAUGCCUCAGAGAUCCGCAAUAGCUACACCUACAGGGCCUGGGUGAAGCUCAUGCGUCCGUUCAAUCCACAUGACUUCGUCCGCAACUUGAUGGCUCAGUUCUUCGAAAGCUGUUUCAAAGAACAAAGAGCAAGCACCAUAGGUGUACAAGUCCUAACCAAGAUGGAUCAGGCCACCCAAUCUCAAUCAGAUCUCCGCAAGGAGUUCGAGCAGCUGGUUACAGAGAAGAGGUACCUCGUUGUCUUGGAAGAUCUCUCAAACAUGGCAGAGUGGCAUGCUGUCAGGACCUUUCUUCCUCACAGUAAGAACGGCAGCCGCAUCAUUGUGUCCACAAAGGAGUCAGAAAUGGCAUGCUUGUGCAUUGGCGAUUCUUACCAGAUAUUGGAGUUGAUGCACUUCUCACCCGAGCACUCUGUUUGUGCCCUCUUCAAGAAGGGUUCUAGUAGUGGCGAUGAAGAUAAAGGCAAGAAACCAAUGGUGCAGGGUUCAAUCCUCAUUGGACGUGAGUCACAAAUGAAUGAACUUCGUAAAUAUCCAGCAAUUGCACGUAUGUCAUCUUCCCAAGUUAUGUCUGUCUGGGGGAUAGCAGGUGUGGGGAAGUCAGCCCUCGUCAGAGACUUGUGCAAUAUUGAUGACACAAAGCAACCUGAAGAGAAACUAUUUAAUAGGUAUUGUUGGGUGAAUGUAUCUCAUCCAUUCAAUUUGAAGUACUUCUGUCAGGAUUUACUUUCGGAUUUUCACUCAGAAAAAGAUCCCAUUAAAGAGUGUCACCAGCUUCUAAUACAAGACCGUUGUCUCAUUGUUAUUGAUGGUAUACGCUACAAAAAGGAAUGGGAUUUGAUAAAAAAAUCCAUGGUACCUAGAUCCUCUAAGAGUGUUAUCAUUGUCAUUACAACUGAAGCAAGUAUAGCCACAUACUGUGCAAAUAACAGACAGCUCGUGUUCAAUGUCAAAGGUCUAGAAGCUGCUGCAGCCUUUGAUCUCUUCAAACAGGAGGUACGCAAGACCUCACUCAAGCUGGAGACACCAUCAGCGGAUCCAUCAUCCUCACUCAAGCUGGAUACACCAUUGAGGGAUCCAUCAUCCUCACUCAAGCUGGAUACACCAUCGGGGGAUCCAUCAUCCUCACUCAAGCUAGAUACACCAUCGGAGGAUCCAUCAUCCUCGCUCAAGCUGGAUACACCAUCGGGGGAUCCAUCAUCCUCACUCAAGCUAGAUACACCAUCGGAGGAUCCAUCAUCCUCGCUCAAGCUGGAUACACCAUCGGCGGAUCCGUCAUCCUCACUCAACCUGGAUACACCAUCGGCGGAUCCAUCAUCCUCACUCAAGCUGGAUACACCAUCGGCAGAUCCAUCAUCCUCUGUAGUAGAUUGGUGUGAAGCUGAGGAGGUUAAAGAACUAAUUUUGAAGUGUGGAGGCCUUCCCAAAGUGAUAGUUGCUAUAGCAUGUGCACUGGCCAAACAGACAGUCACACGGAUGGAUACAAUUCUUGCUUUGAAUCGGAGACUUAUGCACCACCUGGAGACCGAGCCGGACUAUGAUAGUCUACACGAUUUAUUUGGUUGGAUGCAUUCCUACUUCCGUACCUGCCCAGAUUCUCUCAAGCCGUGUAUCUUCUACAUGUCAAUUUUUCCUCAAGGCCAGAUCAUAAGGCGGAGGCGACUAAUAAGGCGCUGGAUUGCAGAGAGCUACUCCAGGGAAGACAAUGAAGAAUCUGCAGAGGAGAACGGAGAGCGGCAAUUCUCUGACCUCCUUGAUCUGAGCAUGAUACAGCAGGUACCACAGCUAGUCACCACCGCAGAAUUCAAUGACAGAAAGAUGGCCUUGUGCAAGUUCAACAGUUUCAUCCGUGAGUACAUCAUCCCGCUGCGGAAAGAAGAAAACCUUGUGUUUGAGCUGGGGGGUAAUUGUGCAUUAACCACCCAGCGCACAGGGCGUCACCUCGUCAUAUUGGACGACUGGGACAGAGACAGAAUUGUAUUUGAGAACAUCGACUUCUCACGGCUGCGAUCACUCACAGUGUUUGGGAAGUGGAAAUCAUUCUUCAUAUCUGAGCGUAUGAAGCUGCUUCGGGUCCUUGAUCUGGAGGAUGCAACAUCAGAUAUAACGGCUGGCGAUCUCAAGAAGGUAGUGAAACGGCUGUGUCGCCUCAAGUUCCUCUCUCUCCGAGGGCAUACUGAGAUCGAUCAUCUACCAAGUUCAUUAGGGGAUCUCAGGCAGCUCCAGACCUUGGACGUCAGGGACACCUCCAUAGUGACUCUGCCUGCGAGCAUCACCAAGUUAAAGAAGUUGCAGUACAUUCGUGCCGGCCGUGGCACCACCGUCUCAGCACUACCUGCUUCAUCCUGCUGGUUGCCCGAUUUCUGCAAGUGCCGUCAACUAGUUGGUGUUCAAGUGCCCGGGGAAAUUGGGAAUCUGACAGGGCUGCACACGCUCGGUGUUGUCAAUGUCGCUGCUUCAGGGGGGAGGGCUGCCAUAAAAGAGAUCAAGAAGCUCAGCCAGUUGCGGAAGCUCGGAGUGUCCGGCAUCAACAAACAUAGCAAAGACUUCUUCUCUGCAAUCUCGGUUCAUGUGCAUCUGGACUCCUUGUCAGUGCAGAUGGACAUUGAAGGCUGCUUGGAUGAUAUCCUCCUGCCUCUGAAGAACCUGCGGAGCCUUAAAUUGUAUGGACUCGGUAACAAGUUGCCAGAGGGGAGCGGCCAGCUUAGCAAGCUCCAAAAAUUGGAUUUGGAGAUGGACAGUUUAACAGAAAAUGACAUGACGCUCCUUGGCGAGCUGCCACAGCUAUGUAUUCUUCGGGUCAAGCAGCUUCAAGAUGGCGAGCUUCAUUUCCAUGUCAUUAGGAAUGGACUUGAGGACCACUCAUUUGAAAAGGUCAAGGUCCUCCAUAUUGCUUCUGGUGGCAGCUCCAGCAGCUUACAUGUGAAAUUUGGAUCAGAAACAAUGAAGAAACUCGAGCUGCUCAAGGUUGACUGCUGCGGUGGAUCGCCGACAUAUCAGUUCUCUAGCCUGGAGAACCUAGAAGAACUCAAGCAAGUCUUGCUAGUGAACGGUUCCAACGCUCAAGCACUGAAGGAACAACUUGAAAGCCAGCUUGCCGAGCAUCCAAACUUGGUGAAACCUGUUGUGGAGCUGGAGGAACCACCACACUCGUCCUGA
rnacentral:rRNA from 1 species